rnacentral:sRNA from 1 species
UACCCUCAGCAGAGUUAUUUUGCUCCUAGUCUACAAAAACUAACAAGAAUCAUCGUUAGGCAUAAAAGAGUAAAAACGUGCUAGUUUUCGUUUUCGCGGUUUAAAGAGGAGUGUCCAAAACCCUAGGAAAGAAUGGGGGACGUUCGUUUAUGCCGCACCAAGUCGUAAAUGAAAUGAGUGUUUCAAAUGGCUAUCAAGGGGGUAAAAGUAAAGGGGCGGUGUGGUUAAUAGUAAAUAUAGCUUCAGAGAUCGGCUCGACAGACAAUGAUAUUUUAUUUAUUUGUUUUUGCGCCCUAAGAAAACACCCGCGUGUUAAAUUGCUCGAACCGUUUUCCGAAGCCAGAACAAAACAAAACGAAAAAUCUAAAUGAAACGUGGGCGCAAAGAUGAAUUAAAAAAAGAAUAAUGAAAGUUACUCCGAGUUUCAAUCAAUUACAAAAUUGCUUGGCACGCGGAAAAAGUAUUGUUUUUCACGGCUGACACGUCUGUCUUUCUGUUGAACACGAAAAAGAGUGAAAUGAAAAACGAAAGAAAAAAAAAACAUAAAAAAGAACAUGCCUUAGACGUAACGUUUUACGAGCCUAAAUACAAAAAAAAAAAAA